GCAAUAUUGUUUACAAGCAUGCCCUAUGAAUCUAUCUAGACGGUUACAUUGAUAUAUUCUAUCCGACCCCAUAUGAUUCAAUGGGUGAAAAUUUUAAUUCACGUUUGCAUCCUCAAAAAUUUACCUGGUUGGAGGUUGUCUUGUGUCUGUUAGUUACAACCCAAACAUUGCAGUGAGCUUGUUACUCAAUUUAUAUGUAAUACAUUAUCGAUUAUCCAACCUGGG